AUAUUGCGCAAUGGGCGAAAGCCUGACGCAGCAACGCCGCGUGUGUGAUGAAGGCCUUCGGGUUGUAAAGCACUUUCGGUUGGGAAGAAGGGUGUGCUGGCAAACAGUCAGUACAUUUGAUGGUACCAAAAGAAGAAGCACCGGCUAACUUCGUGCCAGCAGCCGCGGUAAUACGAAGGGUGCGAGCGUUGUUCGGAAUUACUGGGCGUAAAGGGUUCGUAGGCGGGAAGAUAAGUUAUGUGUGAAAUCCCUGGGCUUAACCCAGGACGUGCACGUAAAACUGUUUUUCUUGAGUGUUGGAGAGGGUAGUGGAAUUGCUGGUGUAGGAGUGACAUCCGUAGAGAUCAGCAGGAACAUCAGAGGCGAAAGCGACUGCCUGGCCAAACACUGACGCUGAGGAACGAAAGCGUGGGGAGCAAACAGG
rnacentral:rRNA from 1 species